UGGGGAAUAUUGGACAAUGGGCGAAAGCCUGAUCCAGCCAUGCCGCGUGUGUGAAGAAGGUCUUCGGAUUGUAAAGCACUUUAAGUUGGGAGGAAGGGCAGUAAGCGAAUACCUUGCUGUUUUGACGUUACCGACAGAAUAAGCACCGGCUAACUCUGUGCCAGCAGCCGCGGUAAUACAGAGGGUGCAAGCGUUAAUCGGAUUUACUGGGCGUAAAGCGCGCGUAGGCGGCUAAUUAAGUCAAAUGUGAAAUCCCCGAGCUUAACUUGGGAAUUGCAUUCGAUACUGGUUAGAUAGAGUGUGGGAGAGGAUGGUAGAAUUCCAGGUGUAGCGGUGAAAUGCGUAGAGAUCUGGAGGAAUACCGAUGGCGAAGGCAGCCAUCUGGCCUAACACUGACGCUGAGGUGCGAAAGCGUGGGGAGCAAACAGG
rnacentral:rRNA from 1 species